rnacentral:lncRNA from 1 species
UGACUUAAAGGUCAUUGGCACAGAGAUCAUUCUGGACCUUAUUAGCCCAAUAAAAUGCUUUUCAACUCUGCCUGGUAAUCACAUAGAUAUGUAGUGUUUUCAUGAUUGCUUGGGGCAACUAAAAAACUUUCUCUUUAUUUACUUUGGUAAUCUUUCCAAAGAACAUUCUGCAGACAUUCUCUUUCUUUUCUUGAUCAAAGGUUAACUGUGAUCCUAGCCAGCUAUUCUCAGCCUGCCAAGUGCUUUGUCUGACCUUACAAGGAGAUGGCAGCUUCCGGCACUUCAGUGAUGUCAGUGGGUCAACCAUGGCAGCACCAGCACCUCCCAGAUUUCUUCAUCCCUCCUUUCAAAGUUACAAGUGCUGAUAAAUUGUAACCUCCCCCAAGCCUGAAGCUGGCUGAGCCAGACCUCAACUUUGCUGCCACUAAGGAGAUUACCUAGGGUGGAGCCUGCCUUCCAAGAUCACUCAGCCACUGGCGCUGUUCCUCUUCAAGAUACUGCUACCUGCUGGGAGGUCACCGAGCUAUUCCUGAGACUACACCCUAUCCUGCACGUGGUCACCUGCAGCUGGGCUCCAAGAACGAAUUGGCGGGAAUAGGCCUCCCCCUCCUUUAUAAGGGCAUUCACCAUUAAACAUUUGAGCCUGG